rfam:Triticum aestivum genome assembly, contig: Triticum_aestivum_CS42_TGACv1_scaffold_623841_7DS
GUAGUAUUACCUCUGUCCCAAAUUACUUGUCUUAGGUUUGCCUAGAUACGAAUGUAUCUAACACUAAAAUGUGUCUAGAUACAUUUGUAUCUAAAAAAUCUAAGACAAGUAAUUCCUGACAGAGAGAGUAGUUG